rnacentral:tRNA from 3 species
GCCGGAAUAGCUCAGUUGGUAGAGCAGAGGACUGAAAAUCCUCGUGUCCC